rnacentral:rRNA from 1 species
GACGAACGCUGGCGGCGUGCUUAACACAUGCAAGUCGAACGGAAAGGCCCUGCUUUUGUGGGGUGCUCGAGUGGCGAACGGGUGAGUAACACGUGAGUAACCUGCCCUUGACUUUGGGAUAACUUCAGGAAACUGGGGCUAAUACCGGAUAGGAGCUCCUGCUGCAUGGUGGGGGUUGGAAAGUUUCGGCGGUUGGGGAUGGACUCGCGGCUUAUCAGCUUGUUGGUGGGGUAGUGGCUUACCAAGGCUUUGACGGGUAGCCGGCCUGAGAGGGUGACCGGCCACCUUGGGACUGAGAUACGGCCCAGACUCCUACGGGAGGCAGAAGUGGGGAAUAUUGCACAAUGGGCGGAAGCCUGAUGCAGCAACGCCGCGCGCGGGAUGACGGCCUUCGGGUUGUAAACCGCUUUCGCCUGUGACGAAGCGUGAGUGACGGUAAUGGGUAAAGAAGCACCGGCUAACUACGUG